rnacentral:lncRNA from 11 species
AAAGCAUCUUAUUUCCUCAUCAAAUUUCCGUACUCGGCUUAGCCAUGCUUGUCAGCUUCCCAGCUCCCCUUUUCAAUAACCGGUUUAUUCUUAGCAUCCAGCCAAGAAACAUUCCUAGGAGUAAACCAUGGGAGAAUGAAGACCUAAUUUCUUUAUCUCACUCCUGGAGAGAUUUCUGCUCACGCUCAUGGGAAAGGUCACACAGGCUUUCCUGUUGUUUUCGGCUACAAUGACUAUCAACCAUAGUUACAGUAAAUGAUAUUGAGGGACUCAGGUAAGAUAAGGCUGAAUUUUAUUUUGUACAUCUGAUGAAUAAUAAAGGAGUGAAAUUUUGUUUACAUUUCAAUUAUAACCAUACAACCAAUUUGUGCUUCACAAGCUGACCUGUGGACCAGAAAGCAAUUGCUCUUUGAGUUUUGCACUAACAAAAAUGUAUAUAAAAUUAAGGGAAAUUGAUCGCAAAAUACUUAUACAUGGUGAAGGUUUUUGUAAAAACAUAUCUAUUAAGGAAAAUGAAAUAAAAUGGGUAUGGAAGUUGAUGUUUUAAUGCUUAAUUUAAUGCUUUAUAAAAUCAUUUGCUAACAGAUGUGAAAACAGAACAAAAUGAAUUUCUGCUUGGCAAAAGUAUUUUAGAGAAAGCAAAACAGGUGGAUUUGCUCAUUUCUUCUUAUGAAUAGCUCCAGUCCUGUGUUUGACAUAUGUGUGCUUCCCAAAUGUUGAAACUUCUAGUCAUCCCUCACUCACAAUCAUCGCCACUGCCCAAGGUUGAUGGGAAUUAUUGUCCAAUAUCUGGAACACCAUAUGCCCUCCAUUCUAGCAAUAACAUAUGCAGGAUUAUGCCACACUAAAUCUGUUAAUCUUUAAGGUACAAGAACAAGAAGCCUGUGUCUGAUUUUUUCCAAGAGAGAACCAUGCAGUGGUGUAACUGUUAUGUCUGAUACCUGACACAGAUCAUUUGUAACAGUUCCACUGUAACAAAAUUAUUUUCAGUAAUUAUGAAGUGACAUUAAUAAUAAUAAUAAUGGCCGCCAGAAAAGAAAUGUAAACAGUGAAAAUUCUUUUAUUGAACAUUGUAUAUAUCAUCAUGCCAUAAAUAUAAAUAAAUGAAUUGGAAAUGAAGUAAAUAUUACGGUACAAUAAAGAAAAA